GAACAGCCUUUCUCAACAACCGGAACGUCAAAACACCAUCUGUUGUCCAUGCAGACACCUCAUCCUCUGUUUGUCCCUGAGGUGGGCGUGCGGUUGCCACGGUGCACCGAGUGUGUGCAGCUGCAGAGCCGAAUCCAGCGGACUGUCCCAGGACCAGGUUUAAGACAAAAUAAGAGCACAGCUGAUCUCAUGCUGGUGGUAGUCUGGUUAGA